GAGCCGGGGAGCCAUGAACCGAAUGAGGCGGCGAGCCACCCGACGUAUUGUAGGUCCUCCAUCUUGAGGGGCAUUCCUGACUCCCAGGUGACCGAACCCUGACUGGACUCGGUGGAGAGACGGACCAACUCACCAGGAAGGCGUCUGGACAAGGUCUUUUCUUGCCUAUUUUCUUAGCGGAAGAAUGCUCUCCUCUUCCCUAUGGCUGGGUCUCCACGUAGUGGGCAGAUCUAGACUGUCCACGGAGCACGCCGACCAUCCUUUCUUCUCAUCUUAUAUUCCUGCCUUCCUCUUUCCAUCUCUUCCUCCUGAGUCCAAGAAAGAAGACAAGAUUAUGGGGGAAGCACAUAAUACACUUCAUAAUGAAACCAUGGGACCCACUCCUUUGUAUCUAUUAACAAAUGAAUAUAUUUAUUUUGAUGCUGCUAUUGUCUAUGUACAGACAGAAGAUCUGACCAAUAGGACGCGAUGGUGGUAUGACGGGGUUUCUGACCGUAACACCAUCAGAAUACCAUCAAAACAACAUUCUGAUUCUCAGCUGUCACCAUUGACUUUUUUUCUCUCUUUCCCUCCCCAGCUUUAUUGUGGUAUGACUGACAAAUAAAAAUGUAUACAGUUAAGAUAUAUGAUGUGAUGUUUUGAUAUACAUAUACAUUGUGAAAUAAUUACCAUGGGUAAGCUAAUUAGCCUAUUUGGCACCUUUUUUUGGUGUGUGGUAGGAAUAUUUAAGAUAUAGUCCAUUAGCAAAUUUCAGGUAUACAGUAUAUUAACUAUUAGCUAUAGUCACCAUGGUGUACAUUAGGUUUUCAUCAUUGACUUUCUAAGAGUCAAAUUCAAUGAUUUCAUAGGAGUUUUGAUUCUCUCUGAUCUCUGCGUAAUACAUUUGAUUCUCUUAGCCAGUCCCUCCUUCCUGAAAUGCUUUACUUGGCUUUUUAGGCUUUUUAUGCUCAAUUACUUUACUAGUUACUUACUGUAACUCAAAUCUUUUGGUUUUAUUGCCCAGGAUUUAUUUGCUGGUCUUCAGGUAAAAGAUUUCUUAUGAGAACCCCUACAAUCUCAGCUCAUCAGAUUUACUUCUGCUAACAGCUCAAGAUGUGGGCACUGAUUGGCCUGCAGAUAUGAGUGAAGUAGGAAAAUGGGAGCUUGGAGCUUGCCGUAGCUAUUUGGCUACCACAUGGAAUUUGAGAGUGGAGCCUAAGUGUCAAGAAGCAGAGUGGAGAGAUGGAGCUCUUGGUGACAUACGGGCCUAUUAUAAACAUUUCAGAGAGAAGAGCCAAUAGAUCCUCCUUCUCCCCCAGGAUUUUGACUUAAACCGGUUUGAUUUAGGUUUUCUUCCUUUUACAAUCUAAACAACACUAAAACAGCCUGUGUUUUACUGUCCAUAGAGAAAAUUCUAGAAAGAUACAUUUCAAAGUGAUAGGUGUGCUUAUCUCUGGAGAAAGGGGACUGUCAUGAUGGGAGAGUUGUUUUGAUGGUAUUCUGGUGGUAUUAUGCUCAAAAAACCCUCUCUCAUUUCCCUUUUCUACAGUGGAUACUUAGUGUUCCUGGAGGUUGUAAAACAAAUAAAACAUGUACUUAAAACUUGGGCUUUCGAACUCACCUUGCAAACCAACAAUAAUACUUAUUGUUUACUCUGCAAUAGCAACUAAGUAUAUUUCAAAAUUCUUUUUUCAUUUCCAGUAACUGAGUCAUUGCUGUACCAUUAUCUGCUCUGCAAAUAGGAAAACAAGGCACAAACUAAUUUAGUGGUUUAUCAAAAGUUCUUAGUAAAACAGCGAUAGUUAUGGGACUCAAUUCAGCUAAUGGUCUUUCCUUUUCAUCAUAACCUGCAGUUAGGGCAGGCUUCAAGAAACUACAUUUUAGACUCAUGCCGUGGUGCUAAAUUGCACUUGUCUCCUUCCAAAGGCUGGGAAGAACUCUGUUUAACUCUUGGACCCCUUUUUUUUUCAUGUCAUAUUUCUUUUCAGAU